rnacentral:lncRNA from 1 species
AUGUAUGCCUCACUCUGUAACAUGUCAACAUGUCUCAUCUUAGAUGUAAGCCGCACAAGUGUAGAAGUUGGACAAGAUGCUUCUAAACCUAACGGGGUGACUGGACCUGGUGGCACGACAAACAGUGUUGAGGACCGUGAAGAGGAUGAAAGCUCUGAUGAAGGUGUGAGAAUCGUUCCUCCACCUCCUCCUCCUGCUGCUCCACAACAGAAGUCACGGAAGUUAGUUGGGCCAGCAGAUGGUAACCGAAGAAAGGCAGCAGCACCAAAACAGAAGAGGAGAUCACGGCCCUCUCGUCGUCAACCCUGAAACGCCACAAAGACACACAAAGGCAAACAUUUAAUUUGAGUGAUUACGUAGAAAAAAACCAUGUUGUAUCUUAUUACUGUGUAUGCCAUAACAUGGACGUGAACAGAACCGUACACACAUGAUAAAGCUGUUUUCUGUAUCUUGGGCUGUAAAACAAAGUCAGCAUGACAUGGCAUAUUGUUUACUUUAACACCUGUGGAACAACUCAGUGGUAGGUUCAACACAAACUUAUGGGGCCUUUCUCUGUGAAUAAAAUGUACCAUUGCAUUUACCAUUUAAUGUGAUGACAUGACAACAGGCCCAAAAACACCAGUCUGAGACCAGUUCACGCAUCCAUUGAAAUCCAGGACAAGGCAUGCUUUUAGCAGCAUCAUGACUUGACACUGACCUUGAGAGCCAAUGAAACUGCUCUAAAUUCACCAACCUGUUUCAAAAUAGAAAGGACCUUCCCUCACAUGAAAAUAAACUCAGCAACAAAAAAAACGUCCUCUCACUGUCAACUGCGUUUAUUUUCAGCAAACUUAACAUGUGUAAAUAUGUGUAUGAACAUAACAAGAUUCAACAACUGAGACAUAAACUGAACAAGUUCCACAGACAUGUGACUAACAUAAAUGGAAUAAUGUGACAGUCAGUAUCUGGUGUGGACACCAGCUGCAUUAAGUACUGCAGUGCAUCUCCUCCUCAUAGACUGCACCUUGUCAGUUCUUGCUGUGAGAUGUUCCCCCACUCUUCCACCAAGGCACCUGCAAGUUCCCAGACAUUUCUGGGGGGAAGGGCCCUAGCCCUCACCCUCUGAUCCAACAGGUCCCAGACCUGCUCAAUGGGAUUGAGAUCUUGGCUCUUCGCUGGCCAUGGCAGAACACUGACAUUCCUGUCUUGCAGGAAAUCACGCACAGAACGCAGUAUGGCUGGUGGCAUUGUCAUGCUGGAGGGUCAUGUCAGGAUGAGCCUGCAGGAAGGGUAACACAUGAGGGAGGAGGAUGUCUUCCCUGUAACACACAGUGUGGAGAUUGCCUGCAAUGACAACAAUCUCAGUCCGAUGAUGCUGUGACACACCGCCCCAGACCAUGACGGACCCUUCACCUCCAAAUCGAUCCCGCUUCAGAGUACAGGCCUUGGUGUAACGCUCAUUCCUUCGACGAUAAACGCGAACCCGACCAUCACCCCUGGUGAGACAAAACCGCGACUCGUCAGUGAAGAGCACUUUUUGCCAGUCCUGUCUGGUCCAGCGACGGUGGGUUUGUGCCCAUGGGCGACGUUGUUGCCGGUGAUGUCUGGUGAGGACCUGCCUUACAACAGGCCUACAAGCCCUCAGUCCAGCCUCUCUCAGCCCAUU